UACGUAGGGUGCGAGCGUUGUCCGGAAUUAUUGGGCGUAAAGGGCUCGUAGGCGGUCUGUCGCGUCGGGAGUGAAAACCCAGGGCUCAACCCUGGGCCUGCUUCCGAUACGGGCAGACUAGAGGUAUGCAGGGGAGAAUGGAAUUCCUGGUGUAGCGGUGAAAUGCGCAGAUAUCAGGAGGAACACCAGUGGCGAAGGCGGUUCUCUGGGCAUUACCUGACGCUGAGGAGCGAAAGUGUGGGGAGCAAACAGG
rnacentral:rRNA from 1 species